UACGUGGGGUGCAAGCGUUGUUCGGAAUUACUGGGCGUAAAGCGUGUGUAGGCGGCCCACUAAGUCUGGUGUGAAAUCCCCAAGCUUAACUUGGGAACUGCAUCGGAAACUGGUGGGCUUGAGUCCGGGAGAGGGUAGCGGAAUUCCUGGUGUAGAGGUGAAAUUCGUAGAUAUCAGGAGGAACACCGGUGGCGAAGGCGGCUACCUGGACCGGUACUGACGCUGAGACACGAAAGCGUGGGGAGCAAACAGG
rnacentral:rRNA from 1 species